GCGCCCGUAGCUCAACGGAUAGAGUACUUAUCUUCGGAAUAAGUGAUGUGGGUUCGAUUCCUGCCGGGCGCA
rnacentral:tRNA from 1 species